CCUAUUACUUCUCCUAUGGGCAGUAACGAGGGAUUAAUUGAGAUCAAUUAAAAUGGGACAUAAUCUUGAAUUUUUGGAUACUAUACGUAUGCUAAAUCCGUUAUAAAUGGUAAAAAAAAUAUUUUUUUCUUUUGAAAGCGCUCUUAGUUCAGUUCGGUAGAACGCGGGUCUCCAAAACCCGAUGUCGUAGGUUCAAAUCCUACAGAGCGUG
rnacentral:tRNA from 1 species